GACGAACGCUGGCGGCGUGCUUAACACAUGCAAGUCGAGCGGUAAGGCCCUUUCGGGGGUACACGAGCGGCGAACGGGUGAGUAACACGUGGGUGACCUGCCCUUAGCUCUGGGAUAAGCCUGGGAAACUGGGUCUAAUACCGGAUAUGACUCCAUAACGCAUGUUGUGGGGUGAAAGCCUUGUGCGGCUAGGGAUGGGCCCGCGGCCUAUCAGCUUGUUGGUGGGUGAUGGCCACCAAGGCGACGACGGUAGCCGGCCUGAGAGGGCGACCGGCCACACUGGGACUGAGACACGGCCCAGACUCCUACGGGAGGCAGCAGUGGGGAAUCUUGCGCAAUGGGCGAAAGCCUGACGCAGCGACGCCGCGUGGGGAUGACGG
rnacentral:rRNA from 1 species